rnacentral:rRNA from 1 species
AGAGUUUGAUCCUGGCUCAGGAUGAACGCUAGCGGCAGGCUUAAUACAUGCAAGUCGAGGGGCAGCGCGGGUAGCAAUACCUGGCGGCGACCGGCAACGGGUGCGGAACACGUACGCAACCUUCCCAAAACUGGUGAAUAGCCUUUCGAAAGAGAGAUUAAUACACCGUAACAUAACGAAAAGGCAUCUUUUUGUUAUUAUAGUAGCAAUACGGUUUUGGAUGGGCGUGCGCCUGAUUAGGUAGUUGGCGGGGUAACGGCCCACCAAGCCUGCGAUCAGUAACUGGUGUGAGAGCACGACCAGUCACACGGGCACUGAGACACGGGCCCGACUCCUACGGGAGGCAGCAGUAAGGAAUAUUGGUCAAUGGACGCAAGUCUGAACCAGCCAUGCCGCGUGAAGGAUGAAGGCCCUCUGGGUUGUAAACUUCUUUUAUCUGGGACGAAAAAAGCCCAUUCUUGUGCACUUGACGGUACCAGAGGAAUAAGCACCACCUAACUCCGUGCCAGCAGCCGCGGUAAUACGGAGGGUGCAAGCGUUAUCCGGAUUUACUGGGUUUAAAGGGUGCGUAGGUGGGUCUGUAAGUCAGUGGUGAAAUCUCCGAGCUUAACUCGGAAACUGCCAUUGAUACUAUAGGUCUUGAAUUAUCUGGAGGUGAGCGGAAUAUGUCAUGUAGCGGUGAAAUGCUUAGAUAUGACAUAGAACACCAAUUGCGAAGGCAGCUCACUACGGAUAUAUUGACACUGAGGCACGAAAGCGUGGGGAUCAAACAGGAUUAGAUACCCUGGUAGUCCACGCCCUAAACGAUGCAUAUUUGGUGUGGGUCAUUCAGUUGAUCCGUGCCGGAGCUAACGCGUUAAAUAUGCCGCCUGGGGAGUACAGUCGCAGGGCUGAAACUCAAAGGAAUUGACGGGGCCCCGCACAAGCGGUGGAGCAUGUGGUUUAAUUCGACGCAACGCGAAGAACCUUACCUGGGCUCGAAAUGCUAUGGACCAGCUGGUGAAAGCCGGCCUUCCCGCAAGGGACUAUAGUAUAGGUGCUGCAUGGCUGUCGUCAGCUCGUGUCGUGAGAUGUUGGGUUAAGUCCCGCAACGAGCGCAACCCUUGUCCUGUGUUGCCAUACCGAAAGGUGGAACUCGCAGGAGACCGCCAGGGAUAACCUGGAGGAAGGUGGGGAUGACGUCAAGUCCUCAUGGCCUUUAUGUCCAGGGCUACACACGUGCUACAAUGGACGGUACAAAGGGCUGCCAACCCGCGAGGGGGAGCCAAUCCCAAAAAACCGUUCUCAGUUCGGAUUGCAGGCUGCAACUCGCCUGCAUGAAGCUGGAAUCGCUAGUAAUGGUGGAUCAGAACGCCACCGUGAAUACGUUCCCGGGCCUUGUACACACCGCCCGUCACAUCACGAAAGUGGGUUGUACUAGAAGUUCGCACGCUAACCCGCAAGGGAGGCAGCGGCCCAAGGUAUGACUCAUGAUUGGGGUGAAGUCGUAACAAGGUA